rnacentral:misc_RNA from 1 species
AACACUGUUAACCUGCGGUACCUGCGGAAGGAUCAUUACAAGUGACCCCGGUUUACCACCGGGAUGUUCAUAACCCUUUGUUGUCCGACUCUGUUGCCUCCGGGGCGACCCUGCCUUCGGGCGGGGGCUCCGGGUGGACACUUCAAACUCUUGCGUAACUUUGCAGUCUGAGUAAACUUAAUUAAUAAAUUAAAACUUUCAACAAUGGAUCU